GGGAAAUUUGGGACCCUGAACUCACCCUUGACGUAGCUUCACGUGACUAGGAGCCUGUGUGCUGAAGUCGGUCCAGAUAGCGGUUCUUACUCAGGUAACCGACUCCCGAUUUCGUUGGAGGUGGUGUGACUGUGGUCAGGGAAGGAGGACAAGAGGAAACCCGUCCUGAUUCCCUCCGCUCACGAUCCAGCUAGAUUGCGGUUUCAGACUCCUGCGUCCAGGCGGCUCUGGAUAGCCUAUGAGAGUCCCCUGAGAGCUUCGCUCGGCUGCAGCAUGGGCCGUGCUCAGAAUUUGGGCUUGAUGGCAACAGGCCUGGUGGUCGGGGCUGGCUCCUGGUACUACAUAUACCGACUGACGUUGGGAGAGCAGAAUAAGAAGAGACCUGCUGAUUCGAAAGACAUUAAUCCUGCCUACAAAAAGUUUAGAAAAUACAGAAAACUGUAAGGAAGAAAAUAAAAAUAAGUCACCAA